ACCUCCCCCCCCACCUCCAGCCCCCAACUACCUCAUGGAAGGGCUGGUGUUAAGGAACUUGGACCCCAGCAGCAAAGGUUGGAUCCACUGGGCUGCCAUCAAGCAUGUCUUUGGCCAAGCUGUGCCAUGUCUGCACCUGGGAUCUGAACCAGCGAACCCCAGGCUGCCGAGAAGUGGAAUGUGGGAACUUAACUUCUGCGCCACAGGGCUGGCCCCCCUUAUUCAUCUUGAAGUCCUCCGGCUAUGCCUCCAACAAAAGUAGGUGGAAAUGUUAAUAGCCAGCACGAGUCACUUUCUCUCUUUUCCUGACUAAGUGGCCAUGGAAGCAAGAGUUAUGGUGGAGCCUCCCUCAGCCUGAGCUUCUCUGUGACUACAACAAGCAGAGCCCCUGCCACCCCACGGUGGACAUGGACUGUGAGCUGGAAACAAACCAUUGUUGGAUAAAGCCACUGGGGCAAAAUAUCAGUAUUUUUUUUUAAAUACAUGUAUACAACACAAAUGAGAGGUGCUAAUUACAUGACAGUGCUUUUCCUUAUAAACCCAGAUUUUUUUGUUCCACACAAAUAGCCUAUUGUUGAACAUGAAAAGGCUUUAGAAUCCUCCUCCUAUGCUACCAGAUAAUUAUGGCUUUGAGGAUUCUGUGACUAUACAUAUUUUUUAAAAAGCCUGUUUUGCCUCAUAUAUGCCACAAAGCCAUGAUGUGAGACAGUGUAAGUUUCCCCUGCUUUCUUCAUUUUUCAAACCUCAUAGUCUUGUAAUGAGAGAGACAAAGCCAUGCAACACUUUUUAAAUUACAAACUGCAAGGUGUCUGUGUCUUAUUCUUAAGUCAAAAUGAUUUAUGCUAUUUAAUUAAUGACUGAUGCUUUGACAUCCUCACUGCAUGGCUGCGAUUGAAAAUAUGAUCACAUUGUGAUAUUUAUGUUGGAGGCAAGUGUUUUUGUUUUUAUACUUUGUAUUUAAUUCAUUCAGCAUCCUUUUCACUUCAUUGCUUCCUCUCUCCCCUGGCAAGGAUAAACGCAUGCGCGCCGAACUUAGAUCGCUGUCAGUAUCUGUGAGAUUGGAGAGGGUCCUAAAUUUGGCAGAUUACCCUCCCCUUCAUAGGAGAUAUUCCAAAUGAACAAGCCGAGUGCUGGGCUUUCUUCCCCUCAAACCCAAAAUUUUCAAAAGUCUUUAAACUGCUUCCUUCGCUCUUCAACUCUCAAGAGGAAUUACACUGAUAAGGUUUCUGUUCAUCAAAAGAAUGGAAUGGCAGUGGCUCUGCUAUUCCCAGGACACCUCCUUCUGGAAAAGGGCGGCUUCUCCCCUGAGAAGCUAUUAUAAAGAACAGGAGUUCUCCAGCUCCCAUCAUCAAUGUAUCACUCCACUUCAGUUAUUGUUUCUGUGGAUUCCUUUUCCUCCUGUCUCUCUCCCCCACCCUCAAGCAGUUUUUAAAAUCCAUUGCCUAGGGAGUUUCAAAUUGUAUCCGACCUAUUGAUUCCAUGAGAUGGCUGUGUCCAAUGGGCAUGCAAUACAAUAUACAACCUGGAGCCCAGAAAAAGGCAACUCGCUGAUGAAAUGAGAAAUACAGAAUAGUCAACCACAAUUUGGAAUUUCUAGGGAAAUGGAGGAAAUAUGUAUUAGUGUUCUGAUUUGGGUUUGGGAAAUGAGAUGAUAUAUAUGAAGAAACUAUGUAAAGCAUAAAGCAUUACACAGAUAUAAGAUAUUGCCUUUAUUAAUAAUAACUGAAAAUCUAAUCUCAAUUAGUUAGGGGCUAUAUGCCAUGAAUGUGUUUCAUCCACAUCUAUAUUCUGGAUUUUAGGAUGCUUUGUUGCUGGCGUCCACCUGUAAUCAGAGGAUAUGUAAAAGGGAGGAGGAUGUUAUAUUAGAAGCUGUCAGUUUUCACCCUUCUGCGGUUCUAGGAAAAGGUUUUUUGGGAAGUAGCAGGAACACCUCAGAAGCAAACCCUGCUUACACCACGCUGUGAUGCAGGGCGUCUGUCACAGAAGAGUCUGCCAGAAAGCUGCAUCUUUUGCAUUUUACCCUGGAUAUGAAUGUCUGCUCUAAGAUAACUGCUAUGCCAGGGACCAAGAUAUUGGAUAAUGCAAUUCUGUUUAAUUCAACCAAAUCUUUAUUUUGUGCUAACCUGUAACCAAGUUGCUACGUUAGUCUUUCUGGGGAUAUUAAAAAUAUGUAGGACAUGGCCCAUAACCUCAAGGAGUUAAGAUGGAGAGUAUUGAAGGAGCUCGUAAUCUAACUGGUAAAUAAAAGGGGGAAGGUGUUACAAAUUGUAAGAUUAAUUCUUCAUUUUAUUUCCUUUAACAUCUUCGCUUGGACUAUCAAGAAAUAGCCAUAGUUUGGAAGAAAAAUGAAU
ensembl:lncRNA